UACGAAGGGGGCUAGCGUUGCUCGGAAUCACUGGGCGUAAAGGGUGCGUAGGCGGGUCUUUAAGUCAGGGUGAAUCCGUGGAGCUCAACUCCAGAACUGCCUUUGAUACUGAGGAUCUUGAGUUCGGGAGAGGUGAGUGGAACUGCGAGUGUAGAGGUGAAAUUCGUAGAUAUUCGCAAGAACACCAGUGGCGAAGGCGGCUCACUGGCCCGAUACUGACGCUGAGGCACGAAAGCGUGGGAGCAAACAGGG
rnacentral:rRNA from 1 species